AUUGAACGCUGGCGGCAUGCUUUACACAUGCAAGUCGAACGGUAACAGGCCGCAAGGUGCUGACGAGUGGCGAACGGGUGAGUAAUGCAUCGGAACGUGCCCAGUCGUGGGGGAUAACGCAGCGAAAGCUGUGCUAAUACCGCAUACGAUCUACGGAUGAAAGCGGGGGACUCAGCAAUGAGCCUCGCGCGAUUGGAGCGGCCGAUGUCAGAUUAGGUAGUUGGUGGGAUAAAAGCUCACCAAGCCAACGAUCUGUAGCUGGUCUGAGAGGACGACCAGCCACACUGGGACUGAGACACGGCCCAGACUCCUACGGGAGGCAGCAGUGGGGAAUUUUGGACAAUGGGCGCAAGCCUGAUCCAGCAAUGCCGCGUGCAGGAAGAAGGCC
rnacentral:rRNA from 1 species